rnacentral:rRNA from 1 species
GCUUGUCUCAAAGAUUAAGCCAUGCAUGUCUAAGUAUAAGCCUUUAUAUGGUGAGACUGCGAAUGGCUCAUUAAAUCAGAAACUGUUUAUUUGAUAGUGCCUACUACAUGGAUACCUGUAGUAAUUCUAGAGCUAAUACAUGCUGUAAAGCCCGACUUUUCGGAAGGGCCGUAUUUAUUAGAUAACAGACCAAUAUUCCUCGUGUCUAUUGUGGUGAAUCAUAGUAACUAAUCGGAUCGCAUGGGCUAGUCCCGCGACAAACCAUUCAAGUUUCUGCCCCAUCAGCUUUCGAUGGUAGUGUAUUGGACUACCAUGGCUUUUACGGGUAACGGAGGAUUAGGGUUCGAUUCCGGAGAGGGAGCCUGAGAAACGGCUACCACAUCUAAGGAAGGCAGCAGG